rnacentral:misc_RNA from 1 species
GGCUAUCAUCUCCAAGGAGGCGGUAUGCUUUUUACCACACUCAAUCAGAUUCUUAUCUGAUUAUUGCAUUCAUGUGAAUUAUAUUGGUUUUUUUAGCUAUUAGUACAAGAAUGAGAUUGGAUGGCACUAAAAUUGGGAUGCAAUUUGUCCUGUUAAUGUUUUACCAAUUUAAACUAUACUGAGACUUACCAUUUGAUCACCGUUCCCAGAACUUGGGUUUCUAUUAAUUAUCAAUAACAGUUAUGAAGAUGUAUUCAUUUAUGUAAAUUAAUUCUGAUCACCAUUGGCGUAAAUAGUUUGAGUACAGUGUAGUGGUUAAAGUUUUCAUUUCUUGAUCAUGGUUAAAAUGAAAAGUUGUUCAUUUUUUUUUUAAUUUGAUAAAUAGUUACAAGAGGUUUCGUGUUUUUUAAGAGGUAUCAAACAACUGAGGAUUUCAUUUUUAUUGUAGUCCUUUUAGAAAAGCAAAAUGACAUGCAUAGGUGCAGCUGUUAAAUUGAUUAGAUGGAUUUAAGUUUACUGGAUUUGUUUCUUACUCAUGGUUCUAUUGGGAUUGGUAUUUACAGGAAGUGCUCAGUAAUGUUAUUUCUGCUCUUUUAUUUAACUCAUCAAUGAAUAUAUUUUUAUUCUUAAAAAAAAAAAUUAAUGAAUGUAUUUUUGCUCUUCUUAUAGGUGGCUCCUUAUGAACGUCCUGC